AUUUUAUAAAAGGCUUUUUCCAUCUCUAAAAGGAUCCUUUCGGAAUACUAAAGCCGGCCCACAUUUGACUGUUUUUUUUAAUAAUAACUGCUGCUGCUGCUGAGUGUUGGUACAAUUUUCUCAAAGACAUUUUCCAUCUCUGAAAGGAUCCUUUCAGAAUUCUAAAUCCGGCCCUUAUUUGACUGUGUAUUUAAUAAUUGCUGCUUUUGCUGCUGCUGAGAGUUGGUACAAUUUUAUAAAAGGCAUUUUCCAUCACUGAAAGGUUCCUUUCUGAUUUAUAAGUCUGUGCUUUGUUUGUCUGUGUAUUUAAAAAAUUGAGGAGCACUGACUACAAGUGCUUCGUUUCUGUACUGCUGGAGUUUUCGUUUCUGUACUGCUGGAGUUGUGCUGAGAACAGGAUCCUUUCUGAUUUCUAAGUCUGGCCUUUGUUUGUCUGUGUAUUUACAAAAUUAAGGAGCACCAACUAGUCUACAAAUGCUUCAUUUCUGUACUGCUGGAGUUGUGCUAGAAACGGGAAGAUACUUUCAGAUUUGCUAAAUCUGGCCUUUGUUUGACUGUUUAUUUACAAAAUUAAGAGCAACAAUUACAAAUGCUUUGUUUAUGGACUACAAAUUAAUCUACAGACUGCUGAUGGAACUGAGCUGAAAACAAAUCAGUUUCUGUAUUUUUCGAAAAAUGCUGCUUACUGCUGCUGCUGACAAUAUUCUUCCAUCUCUAUAUAAAAAUAAUUAUUCAUGCCAAUUAUUGGU